rnacentral:rRNA from 1 species
UACGUAGGGUGCGAGCGUUAAUCGGAAUUACUGGGCGUAAAGGGUGCGCAGGCGGCUCCGCAUGUCGGGCGUGAAAUCCCCGGGCUUAACCGGGGAACUGCGUCUGAUACUGGAUGGCUUGAGAUUGGGAGAGGGAUGCGGAAUUCCAGGUGUAACGGUGAAAUGCGUAGAUAUCUGGAGGAACACCGGUGGCGAAGGCGGCAUCCUGGACCAACACUGACGCUGAGGAGCGAAAGCCAGGGGAGCAAACGGG